rnacentral:lncRNA from 1 species
UAAUGUUUGUGGCUUCGAUUUAUGCUAUUUGGCGUGAACGUAAUGCUAGGACCCAUGGGGAGGCUCCUAAAAAUGAGUCUAUUGUUAUUCAAGAUAUUGUUUUUACUAUUUGUGCACGAGUGAACUUGUACAGUAGCUUGGUUCCAUCUAAUGAAAAUAGAUGGCUCCAACGCUCUUGGGGAUUUUCUACAGAUAUUUUUUGUUCUCGU